GAUGAAGAACGCAGCAAAAUGCGAUAAGUAAUGUGAAUUGCAGAAUUCAGUGAAUCAUCGAAUCUUUGAACGCACAUUGCGCCCGCUGGUAUUCCGGCGGGCAUGCCUGUUCGAGCGUCAUUUCAACCCUCAAGCCCCCGGGUUUGGUGUUGGGGAUCGGCUCUGCCCUUCUGGGCGGUGCCGCCCCCGAAAUACAUUGGCGGUCUCGCUGCAGCCUCCAUUGCGUAGUAGCUAACACCUCGCAACUGGAACGCGGCGCGGCCAUGCCGUAAAACCCCAACUUCUGUAUGUUGACCUCGGAUCAGGUAGGAAUACCCGCUGAACUUAAGCAUAUCAAUAAGCGGAGGA
rnacentral:misc_RNA from 1 species